rnacentral:rRNA from 1 species
AACGCGAAGAACCUUACCAAGGUUUGACAUCCUGCGAAGGUCUCCGAAAGGAGACUGUGCCUUCGGGAACGCAGUGACAGGUGAUGCAUGGCCGUCGUCAGCUCGUGUCGUGAGAUGUUUGGUUAAGUCCAUCAACGAGCGCAACCCUUUUAGCUAGUUGCUUUUUCUAGCUAGACUGCCCUGGUAACAGGGAGGAAGGAGGGGACGAUGUCAGGUCAGUAUCUCCCUUACACCUUGGGCUACAAACACGCUACAAUGGCCGGUACAAAGGGCUGCCAAGUCGCGAGACGGAGCAAAUCCCAUCAAAGCCGGUCUCAGUUCGGAUUGUAGGCUGAAACCCGCCUACAUGAAGCUGGAAUCGCUAGUAACGGUAGGUCAGCAUUACUACCGUGAAUACGUUCCCGGGCCUUGUACACACCGACGCAC